GACGAACGCUGGCGGCGUGCCUAAUACAUGCAAGUUGAGCGCUGAAGGUUGGUACUUGUACCAACUGGAUGAGCAGCGAACGGGUGAGUAACGCGUGGGGAAUCUGCCUUUGAGCGGGGGACAACAUUUGGAAACGAAUGCUAAUACCGCAUAAAAACUUUAAACACAAGUUUUAAGUUUGAAAGAUGCAAUUGCAUCACUCAAAGAUGAUCCCGCGUUGUAUUAGCUGGUUGGUGAGGUAAAGGCUCACCAAGGCGAUGAUACAUAGCCGACCUGAGAGGGUGAUCGGCCACAUUGGGACUGAGACACGGCCCAAACUCCUACGGGAGGCAGCAGUAGGGAAUCUUCGGCAAUGGACGAAAGUCUGACCGAGCAACGCCGCGUGAGUGAAGAAGGUUGUCGGAUCGUAAAACUCUGUUGGUAGAGAAGAACGUUGGUGAGAGUGGAAAGCUCAUCAAGUGACGGUAACUACCCAGAAAGGGACGGCUAACUACGUG
rnacentral:rRNA from 1 species